CAGUCGCCGCGGUAAUACGGAGGGAGCUAGCGUUGUUCGGAAUUACUGGGCGUAAAGCGCACGUAGGCGGCUUUGUAAGUCAGAGGUGAAAGCCUGGAGCUCAACUCCAGAACUGCCUUUGAGACUGCAUCGCUUGAAUCCAGGAGAGGUGAGUGGAAUUCCGAGUGUAGAGGUGAAAUUCGUAGAUAUUCGGAAGAACACCAGUGGCGAAGGCGGCUUACUGGCUCAUUCUAGACGCUGAGGUGCGAAGGCGUGGGGAGCAAACAGGAUUAGAUACCCCGGUAGUCCCUGUCUCUUAUAC
rnacentral:rRNA from 1 species